CGCGGCGAUCGUACCCAGACGUCUUGCCGGUGGAAUCACCGCCAUUUUGGAUUUGCGUGUUUCGACAGGUUGCAAGGAAGUGUCGUCGUCCUCGUAAUUAAAGAUGAUUCCAGGUGAAGUCUAUUGGUGCGUUAUCUUUCCAGAGCAGGAUGCUCAUCGUGCGAAGAUCAAUGAAGACUUAAAAUCGUCAUUGCUAUCGUGCGCGAUGCAAUGAAAUAAAUCGAGUGUUGCGUAACUAAAAUAAAAACAAAAAAGUCGCGAAAUAGAAGUGGUGUUUGUUUGUCAAUUUGAAAUUGUCAGAGUUACGUGAUUUAAAUUAAUUUUUUGGAACGUGUGUACUCGAAUCGACUGCGCGCAAUGCAGUCUGUUAUAGAGUCAAUGUUUGUUCGAAUAAAGUUUUAGUUUUUCUUUUUUAAUUCACACAUAAAUUGUAUUUAUAUUUGAAGAAAAUUAAAAUUCGCGAAUUAAAUUCAGUGCUUGUCUUGUGAUUUGUGUUAGUGCAUCACGGAAGAUGGUCUCCAGUUACAACUAUUUCAAUUUACGUCGUUGCCUAUCUACCUCAUUUUCGACUUAUUGCAGAUCAACCUCCCUCAUUUUUGAUUUACAUCGCGGACGAGUGUUUUGGAGCCAUCGCAGAACUUCUUAAGUAGUAAGUAAUUUUUUAAGUCCCUCCGGUACUCAUCAUGCCGAGGAUGAAAGGUCCGAAUCGGCACGAGUCAUUGGUUGUAAUCUUUUUCAAUAAAUUAAUUAGACGAGCAUGACCGUGAGUAAUUCCUCUUUUGGAUUUACUCGCAAGUGAUACAUUUUUAUUUGCAUAUGUUCUCCGUUGUUUAUUUAUUGUGUAUGUUUAUUUUUAUUAGCUCAGGAUAGGGUCUUCUUGUUUAAUCGGUUCGAGUCGUUUAAUUAAAAGCGCAAUUAAUUAGCGUUUCUUUUGUUCGUGUUUGCUCGCGUUAUUAAUGGUGAAAUCGGGCAUUCAUUUACCCCGAUUUCGUUGAAAAAAGCAUGUUAUAUGGUUUACCUUACAAGCAUUGCUUCGUACAUAGUCUAUUUAAUCGCGAUCUGCUUCGAUAUAUCGAUUACGAUAUACUAAGAAAUGAACAAGAAGACAAACGCGACGGAUAGAUUCUGGAAAUCAAGUGGUAGAGAUCAUGAUCUUUUUCUCUAAUUAAAAUAACCACUUGCUAAAAGGAGUCGUCCGAGGUUUCUCAUUAUUUUUGCAUGAAAAAUUUGAUGAUAAAAGAAAAGUUUUAUUAAAGUUAUUGGCUUUGAAAGUCGAGUAGAGUAAUUACUAAAAAAACAAAAAGACUAGUAGAUUCAUAGUCCGUAGAUCUAGAUUGUAAGCUAAUCAUUUUUAGCUCAGGAUUUUCAGAAAUUAAUAUACUAAUUCCCGUUUCUCCACCCGUACUUUCUGCGUUCUCAUUUAUACGUGUGCCCAGGUGUUACUCGCAUGAGUGAGAAACAGUUAGCACGGUUUUAGUUUUAAGUUCCCCCUUAUUAGCGACUGUUAUUGCGUUAGUGAUUGUGCACGAUGUACUUUACACUUGUAUGUGCGUGUUAGGUAGUGAAUUGUACAUCGUUACGCGAAAUUCUUAAUCUCUUAUAUAUUAUGUAGAAAACAUUCUAUUAUUACUAGUAUUGUUAUAUACUAAAAUCUAGCAAUAUUUAUAUUAAAAAUAAUACCUUAUAUAAUGAAAUAUUGAACCGUUUUGAAUAUUAAAUUAAUUAUAUGAUAAUGCAUAAAAUAAUACUCGUAUGUUACUAGUAUGUUUACAUACUAGUACGUACUAGUAUUUAUAUUGAAAGUAGAGCUUUACGCAAUGGUCACUAAAUCUAACAGUCGAUUUCAGCAAAUUGGUACGUACCCUUGAUUAAUUAAAAAUCAUACGCGUUUGAGCUAGAGUGUCGGAGAUGCCCCGGGGCAUACUCUCUAGUGUAGGCUUUUUGCACCCUGGCGGAAUGUGAGAGAAUCGUGGAGUGUAUGUGUUGGAACGAAUGUUUUGCUAUUUUUAAAUAUAGUUAUAGGUAGGCAGGUAGCAUAUUUUUCUGUGUGAAUGUGUAUUUAAUAUUAAGAAGGUAGGACCGGGUAAGACGGAGGAUGUAAUUUCCACGUAGGAGUGGAAAGUUCCGUUUCCGGUUAUUAUGCAAAGUUUCAGCAAAUUGUACAAUUAUUCAGCAUGUCUGUUC